AUCAAUAAUAUAUUAAAAAGGGCACCGCCCUGCCCAGUGAAACAAUUAAACGGGCCGCGGGUACCCCUAAACCGUGCAAAGGUAGCGUAAUCAUUUGUCUAUUAAUUGUAGACCAGUAUGAAAGGCAAAAUGAGGGUUUAUCUGUCUCUUACAAUAAAUCAAUUAAACUGAUCUCCUAGUAAAAAAGCUAGAAUCUACACAUAAGACCAGAAGACCCUGUGAAGCUUAAACUAAAUCAUUAAACCAUAUAAUACUUACUUUCGGUUGGGGCGACCUUGGAAAGAAAAAGAACUUCCAAAUAUUCCAUACUAGGCCCACAAGCCUUACAACAGACCCAGUACAACUGAUAACUGAACCAAGUUACUCCAGGGAUAACAGCGCUAUCUUCUUCAAGAGCCCAUAUCAAAAAGAAGGCUUACGACCUCGAUGUUGGAUCAGGACAUCCUAAUGGUGUAACCGCUAUUAAGGGUUCGUUUGUUCAACGAUUAAUAGUCCUACGUGAUCUGAGUUCAGACCGGA
rnacentral:rRNA from 1 species